rnacentral:rRNA from 1 species
UACGGAGGGGGCUAGCGUUGUUCGGAAUUACUGGGCGUAAAGCGUACGUAGGCGGCUUUGUAAGUUAGAGGUGAAAGCCUGGAGCUCAACUCCAGAACUGCCUUUAAGACUGCAUCGCUUGAAUCCAGGAGAGGUGAGUGGAAUUCCGAGUGUAGAGGUGAAAUUCGUAGAUAUUCGGAAGAACACCAGUGGCGAAGGCGGCUCACUGGACUGGUAUUGACGCUGAGGUGCGAAAGCGUGGGAAGCAAACAGG